GGCCUGUUUGAGCAGGCAUUGCAAAUCUUAAAAACAAUAAGAUGAAUAAUCAUCACUGUUUGAUCACUGCCAUUUAUUGAGUACCUUCUCCAUGGCAGAUGCUAAGAUAAGACCUAACAUGCAUCAUCUCUGAUUUUACAAGUCUUCGAGGUUGCAGCCAUGAAAAUGCCCUGGUCAGCCAUGAUUGACCAUGACAGGGGUACUAGUGCAGGCCUGUUCCUGCUGGACAUGGAACCCCUCUAAUGGCUUAAGGACUCCCACUGGCUGGCAGAAACUUUCUUAGAACAACACUGUAGUCUAAGACUCUUCCUACUGAAUUCUCUUUCCUUCUCCCUCUCCUUUCAUGGGGGUCAGGCCUGCACUGCAGUCUGGGGCUUCCUCUGCCUACUUCAGUUCCUUCCUGAACAUUUUACAGGUGUUUCCCCCAAUAAUUCUCUUAUAUGCCUAAUCCCAUCUUGGUGCCUGCAUCUCGAAGGAACUAACACAGUGGACAGGAGUCCCAUUUUGCAGACAGACACUGGAUCAAUGAUGAAGUUACUUGUGUAAGUCCUACAGCCAACAAAUGUUAAGAGCUGGGGUUGUGUGCAGGUAUGUUUGAUUCCACAAGCCAAGUCUUAGAAGCAUACUAGGCUUCCUCUCUAAUGAUCUAUGCAGGCUUAACUGUGAGGACAGGGAGUGAUGACACAUUUCAGUUUGGCCCCUUUGUUUUGUCGAUGAGAAACCUGAGACCAGUGAGGGAAAGGAUUCGCCCAUGGGUGCCAGUGGGAGGGGUGCACCUGGGCUGUGCACAGCCAUUUCCCUCCUUUGGAGGCUGAGGGAGGAGGUCACAGGGAGGCCUCAGGGUAUGGAGGGAGGUCAGGCUGGGGGGCUUAGUGUCUGACCCACCAGCCUGGCAGGCGGGAAUGUGCCUGUAGAAGCCCACGGCCCUCUUGGGGAGAAGCCAUGAAGUGAGGACUGAGUGCUGCCUGGAGGUGCUGGCUGGGAUGCACAGGGAAGAGCUGUCAGGGUAUGGGUCUAACACUGGAACAGCUGGGGGACAUUCCCUGGAUAUCCCUGCAUUGCCUUGAGGCUCUCCCAUCCCUGUUUGAUCCGUAAGCUCCAAGGAGACAUGUUUCCCAGCCAUAAUGCCUUCUGAUCCCAAUCUCUUCUACUCUUUUCAUUGGCAAGAGUCAUUCUCACCCGGGUUUUCUUAUAUAAUAAUUAUAAACUCAUUCAGGGCCUGUGAGUGAAAAGGCACACAUAUACAUUCAGGUCUAAUAUUCACUGAGCAACCAUCAGCACAAUGGUAUGUGACCUCUUUGAAUGCUGCACUAAUGCUCCACUGUCUAGAAGGAGGCCAGACUGCUCUGGGGACCAGGUGCAGAGGGUGCCCUCAAGUGUCUAGUGUCAGAGAGAGAGGGGCUACUCCACUUUGGCCAGGGUGAACUUGAGUUGGUGAUGACAAACAUCUGCAGCUAGUCUAUUUUUCUAAUCUCACCCUCCAAACAGCCCCAUCUUCUUGCAGGGAGGAUGGGUGAAGGCAUUUUCAAAAAUGGACAUCACAUGUGACAAACAGGCAAAGGACCCUGACAGAGCCACAAAACUGACACGCUCAUGAAAACUCAGACCGCUGACAAUGGUGAGCGCCGACCAAUUCAGCGCCAGGCGUGGAGGCUUCUGGCAAGAGUGGUGGGCUCUGUGCGUCCUGAUGGUGGCAGCAGAGACCAGCUUGGGAGCCACCUGGCUCCUCUGCCCUAGCCCAUUAUGGCCUGAAUCCAAUCAAUUUCAGUUCUCAGCACUUCUGAAAACGUGCGUGGCUUAGAGUGUCUGGCAGGGCUCAGGAGAGAAAAGCAUUUCUCAGCCCCGGGACACAUAUAUGCCUCCAGGCACUGGUUGUGGCUUGCAAUCUGGGAGGGCAGGUGAACGGACACCCUCCCUCCUUGCACAGGCCUGGGAUCUGCCUUACUCAACUCCCACUUCUACCAGGAGCAGAGGAUCACCGCUGCCCAGCACCCCGCCCAUCUGAAUUCUGACUCUGGUGGCUUCAGAGAAGCAAGGUAGGGGCCAGUGCUGGUAUGAAAUGCCAGAUGAGAGGAAACUGAUGCAUGCACUUUACUCCUGACUCAGAGUGCCUGAAAUAUCUGGCAAACUGGCAAAGGAUGAAACCCUUCUUUGAGGUCUGUAGAGUAGCUUUAAGAUAAAUGAAGCCACUGAGAAGGUCCAAAACAAGGGGCCCUUAGACGUGGAAGAGGUCUGCUUUCCUGAUAACUAGAGUGGUGCUGGGCUAUGAAAACAGUCCAAAUAGAUGAGGAUAGUUCCUGAGAGCACAGGGUUCUGAAGCUGGACAAAUAUUCUUCCACCUUAAUGGCCCUCUCACUGGAGCCUUCACAGGGUUAACGAUGGUCCCGCAGGAGUUGGGGCCAUGACUGAGGACAUGGAGCUGAUGUGGAGGCAGUCAGGGCCAAGGCAAGAGCCUCCUUGUGUAUAGUGGAAACGCAAGACAGACAUCAAAGGGAGUGGGGUGUGCGGUUCCCAAGGGGCUACCAGAGUCCACUUUUAUUAAAAGUUUGUGUCUUUCUUUAGAAAGUAAUAUGUUCCAUCUCCAGCACCUGAAGGCUCCUUUCAGGGUGCCAGAAGAAUCCUCAAGGGACAGUCCCAGGCUGUGUCCUUCCUCCUGUCUUGGCUGACAUUUUUAUGCAUGGUUUAGGCAGCCCAUGGGCUUUCCAGCUUUGCAAUAAGAUCUGAUCUAAUUUCAAGCUUAUACAUAACAGAAGGGCUGGGGGAGAAGUAGGAGUUCUUUUAGAAUUGCAAAAUCCAGGUGGGUGUAGCCUGUGGGGUGCAGGCUAUCCAGCUCAAAGAGGGAGGCCCAUAUCUCAGAUUCCCUAAUGCUCGGCACAGUGUCUGGCACACAAUGGGCACACAGGAAAUCCUGCACUGAAUCAAACAGAUUUUGUAUUACCAGAUCUAGGCUGACUCACUGUGUGGUCAGGACCUUGGGUCAAUCACUUCACCUGGUGACUCACUCCCUACCUGUAAGGUGUGGAGGACAGCUGGAGUCACUGUGGCACCUGUGUGUUUAGCAGUGUGUUUGCUUGUUCCUGCUUUUAUGUCUCUGGCUGGUCUAAGAUGGAAUGAUAAAAAAAUAACGGAAUGCACUUUGUAAACGAGAGCAUCCUAGACACAUGUAAAGAUUGGAAAAUUAGAAAGCUGUCUCUACUGUAGUUACUUCUCAGAUAUGACCAACCAUUAUUAAGAAUUCAUUGGCUAAUAGGGCUACAUUUUCUCAUGAUCAUUCUUCUGUUUUAGAAGUGGGCAACUGCAGUUUUAAGAAUAAAUGUGUAAAUGUGUGUUUUCAUGAGAGACAAUAAAGCUGUUUUCAUUAAGAAUGAAAUAUGCAACUUGCAAACACUUUUACUUUUCUUGAAUUGGGUCCUUCAGCAGAAGCAGUUUGCCCAGCCCUGACAUGGAAAGUUUACUUUGCUCAUCAACCUGAAGGAGACCGAAAGCUAUGAGAGGCGGCUCCUGAAAAGAAUCUAGACUCCGGAUAUAAAAAGAUCUUGCAACACAAGGCCAAGUGGAAAUCAUGGUUCGCAUUAAAGGCAUAAACCUCCUGCACUAACAACCCAGAGCAGGAGGAAAAGCUGGGAGACCUGGCUCAGCAGCCUUCCCUGAGGGAAGCCUUCGGGGCUUUGUUCCUCUUGAGAUCAGGGCAAGCCUAUGUAUGACCUGAAGCCAAUACAACCAGCAGAGCUGAUGCCAGUGCUGGCUGCCUGAGUGCUACUAAAGAAAGAGUCCACCAUCGGCUCCCUCUUCCGUAGCCAGACACAGGUGGAAUGCUGUGCUUCCUUUUGGGAGACAAAGCAGAAGCUACCCCAGAGGGGGCAGAUGGGAGACAGGCCCAGGCAAUGCAGCCCUACAAAGAAGACUUGAAGGGCCGGGGCUGAGCAGCUUGGAUGAAGAGAAGGCUGCCUUUCAGAGCUGUUUCAAAUGUUUCAGACGUUGCUAGACAAACUAGAGUUGUAUGGCUUCAGAUGGCACAGCUUAGGGCCAUAGAGUGGGAAUCACAAGAAGGCAAACUUUAGGCCCCCAGGAGAGCUGGACAACAACCUGGAGGGUCAGAGGAGAAUGGGCUGUCCAAGGAGCGGGGAUAUGAGGGUGGGGCAGUGUGGCCAUCCCUGGAAGGGGUAAGGGAGUGGCAGAUGGUAACCAUUUGGGGUGGGGUGUGGCUGAGGAUUCCUGCAAGGCUAUCAGAGAAACUCUAAGAAUCAUAAGAAUCAAAGCUCAAGUACAUGAGGGAAGACAUAAUGAAAUCCCUAAAGUUCUGAGAGGUUGUACCAGAUUCUUUAUGGAGAAUACAGAGAGAAUGCCUCCUGACUCCUCAUUCACAGAGUGCCAGGCAGCAGCAAGGAGAAGCUGGUGGCCUUGGGAGGGCAAAAACUAAGGACAAGGUCCACAAUGCAAUCAGCUCACAUCACCUACGAACAAAUAAAGUGGGGUGGGGGUGGAGAGUUGCUAGAGUUUACGUAACUCUCAAGCCUUAAUUUAGCUGCAAGAACUAGGUUUUUGCCAAAGCUAUAGAACUUCCCACCAGAUGAAAGCUUUAUCUCUUUUUCUUUCUUAGGAGAAGAGAGACAGAAGGAGAGAAGAGGGGCAGGAGGAGAGAAAACACAAGAAAGAGGAUGGAAGAUAAAGAGGAAGGCCAGAGUGAGGCAGGAGAAAGCUGAGCUGGAACCUAACUCCUGUUGAUCUGCUGCAGAGACCCUCUCAUUCCACAAUUGCUCCCGCCAUGGUUUUUGAGACUAUGCAGAAGUUAUUCCAUGAGUUCCAAGCCCAGGUCAUGAAAGAUAACUUGUAAUAAAUCUGGCUACCCUGAAGCUGCCAUGCUUGAGAGACCACACGAGAUGGAGAGAGAUGCUUAGGAGUCCCAGCUGUCCAAGCCUCCAGCUAUGUGAAUCUUCCCAGCAGCAACUGCCAGACAUGUGGUACACCCAAAAUGACUUUGGGGCUACACUUGGAAUUGGCAAGGUUCCAGAAAACAGAGGGACUAUCAUCAGAGACAGCGCACAAAAAGUGGGAGAAAGGUCACCAGCCUCACUCAUGUUUAGGGCUAUUAUGAAUAAAGCUGCUAUGAACACUUGUUUACAAGUUCUUUGUGAGGACACAUGUUUUCAUUUAUCUUGGGAAAAUACCUAGAGAUGGAACUCUGGGACACAUGGUAAUAAAGUAUAUUGGCAUAAUGCAAGAGUCAAGAUGCAGAAAAUAACUACUGUGUGAUGUCUCUCUCCCAGCUUUAACCCGCCUGAAGGGCAGCACUGAGUUCAACACACUGUCCCACAAUUGUUGCACUCUCACACUGAAGUGAACAGAUUCUUUCUCCGUGCCGUGCAGCUCCCGGCAGAGGAUGAGGGAAGGGUACCAUCGGUGAUUCAGCACUGUGUUUCCUAUCCUCUUCAAUGACUCUUUCAGCGAUAUGAAGGUAAAACCAGUUAGGUGAAUGGAGCACAUGGCUAUGCUUUGUUUUAAAUGAAAGUCUUUGUCAUCCAGCGGAGGACUUUAAUUCAUUUACAUUUAUUGACAUAAAUGUUGACUUGAAAGCGUGUGUCAGAUCCCUUCACUAUAUCUUCAGACCUGCCCCAAGGAGUGAGGAAGGGCAACACCAAGAACUUCUCUCCAAGGACCAUAACCUGCGAACCCCAUCUCACCUCCUCCUGCCAGAUGGACACAGUCAUUGUCCUCCUGGCUGAUCCCAUGUCCAUGUCUUGCUCUGGCUACUUUCAUACACCCAUAAUGACAUUUUCCAUCUACUCAAUUUUUUAAAAGCUCAGCUCGAACCUCACGGAUUUUCCUGACAAUCUGCUUCUCUCAAUGGCCUUAAUUUAAGUGAGGGUUGUCAGUCUUACUGGGUCUCGUUUUUUGUCUUAAAUAAUAACUAUUUAUGGGUAUCAAGUGUCUCCUCAAUUUGGCUAUGAUCCUUCACGGCAGAAAUACUGUCUUAUCUUGUGAUCAUGGAGUCACAAGAUUUCAUGGCUAGGAAUAUUCGUCAAAUUAAUCCUAGAUUGAGGAUCAGGUAGUAUGUGGUCUGAUUCUAACUCAACAACUUGCAGAAACUCACUUCUUUUUUCUUUUUUUUUCCCCAGGAGGAGCUAUCGUAUUAACUGACGAAACUCACUUCAUUUCUUUGGACCUGCAAAAUGAGGAUGGGCUCUAAACCACCUCUAAAGUUAAUAUUCUAUGAUUCCAUGAUAAGGCUAUUUGUCAUUUAUAAAAAAAGGAACUUCCACAUAGCCCAGAGAAAGGAAAUGACUUUUUCAAGUUUACAGAGUCAAUUAAUGGACGAAAUGUAAUUUGAAAUUCAAUCUCCUGAUCCCCAGUCUAUUGGGAGUUCUUUCAGAAUGUCCCUUGACUGUCCCUCAAAGUGCCAGCAUGUAUGAAACCUUGUUAAGGAUGUAUGCUCAAUGAAAAUACACAAAUUGACUUAACAAGAAACUAAACUCUCCAGAAAGAUGCAGUUGACCCAAAACUCUGAAUAUCUUUUAUGUUUAAAACUUUCUUUUUUGAACAAAAUUGUACAGUUACUUCUCUAUUUCAACUCUUAAGCCUUUUAUGCCACGUCAAAGGUUAGCUCUCUUUUCUCUCUGUUAAUAAAGUCUUAUUCUUGACUUUGGAACUGUA
rnacentral:lncRNA from 1 species